rnacentral:tRNA from 1 species
GUAGCGCAAUGGAUAACGCGUUGAACUUCUAAUUCAAAUGUCAUGAGUUCGAAUCCCACCUCA